CUCUGGAACUCAGAUAGGAGCAGAUAAAUAUGACAAGGGAGGCAAAGCGGAUGAGCAGGACAAGAAACCUUGUAAUACCAACAGGAGAAGGCAAUCAAAAAAUCAAAUUUUACAUGUAGGUUCGGAUUCUUCUACUGUCAGUACGGUCCAAGAUAAAGAGAAAGUUGAUAACAAGAGGAUU